rnacentral:rRNA from 1 species
CCUACGGGGGGCAGCAGUAAGGAAUAUUGGUCAAUGGGCGGAAGCCUGAACCAGCCAUGCCGCGUGCAGGAAGACGGCCUAUGGGUUGUAAACUGCUUUUGUACGGGAAUAUGUACUGUAAGAAUAAGGAUCGGCUAACUCCGUGCCAGCAGCCGCGGUAAUACGGAGGAUCCAAGCGUUAUCCGGAUUUAUUGGGUUUAAAGGGUGCGUAGGUGGCCUGUUAAGUCAGGGGUGAAAGACGGUAGCUCAACUAUCGCAGUGCCCUUGAUACUGAUGGGCUUGAAUGGACUAGAGGUAGGCGGAAUGUGACAAGUAGCGGUGAAAUGCAUAGAUAUGUCACAGAACACCGAUUGCGAAGGCAGCUUACUAUGGCCAUUGACACUGAGGCACGAAAGCGUGGGGAUCAAACAGGAUUAGAUACCCUUGUAGUC